rnacentral:rRNA from 1 species
AUGUCACCUCUGCUAAAACCUCCAAACACGCCGGUUCAGACAGUUUCGGAUCUCAUUGAUAUUGAUAACUGGACGUGGAGGCAGGAUCUGAUUAGGACAACCUUCAUCGCCCCGGAUGCUGAUGCCAUUCUUAACAUCCCAAUCAGAAGGGGAGGAGGAGAGGACUUCUAUGCUUGGGCUUUUGAACGAUCAGGCAACUACACUGUUAAAUCGGCGUACCGUGCUCUAAUGACUCAGAACGAGCGCUUUGCUCUAGAGGAAGGGACGGCUACCGGCGCUUCUCGAGAUGAUAAACAGAUGUGGACGGCCUUGUGGAAAGUGAUCCCAAAAGUUCGAGUGUUC